rnacentral:rRNA from 1 species
GAUGAACGCUGGCGGCGUGCCUAACACAUGCAAGUCGAACGGACAGGCCCUGAUCUUGCGGGGCUCUCGUGAGGCGAACGGGGGAGUAACACGUGUGUAAACUGUCCCUGAAUUUGGGAUAACUCUAGGAAACUGCGGCUCAUACCGGAUAGGAUCUUCUGCAGCAUGGUGGGGGUUGGAAAGAUUCGGCGGUUGGGGAUCGACUCGCGGCUUAUCCGCUUGUUGGUGGAGUAGUGGCUUACCAAGGUUUCGACGGGUAGCCGGCAUGAGAGGGUGGCCGGCCACAUUGGGACUGAGAGACGGACCAGACGCGUACGGGAGGCAGCGGGGGAGAGUAUUACGCAGUGGGCGGGAGCGUGAUACAGCAACGCCGCGUGCGGAAUGACGGCCUACGAGUUGUGAACCGCUUUCUACUGUGACGAGGCGAGAGUGACGGUAAUGAAUAAAGAAGCACCGGCUAACUACGUG